GGCCCGGUGGCGCGUCUGACUCCAGAUCAGAAGGUUGCGUGUUCAAAUCACGUCCGGGUCA
rnacentral:tRNA from 1 species